rnacentral:antisense_RNA from 1 species
CGGCGCGGCAGGGGAUUGCGGCCCCGGCAGCGCCUAACCAUAACCGUUCUAAACAGGAGAACAGCAUGGCUUU